rnacentral:rRNA from 1 species
ACACGUACGCAACUUUCUCAAAACUGGUGAAUAGCCCUCCGAAAGGAGGAUUAAUACACCGUAACAUAUAGAGGUGGCAUCGCCUUUAUAUUAUAGCUCCGGCGGUUUUGGAUGGGCGUGCGCCUGAUUAGGUAGUUGGUGUGGUAACGGCUCACCAAGCCUACGAUCAGUAACUGGUGUGAGAGCACGACCAGUCACACGGGCACUGAGACACGGGCCCGACUCCUACGGGAGGCAGCAGUAAGGAAUAUUGGUCAAUGGACGAAAGUCUGAACCAGCCAUGCCGCGUGAAGGAUGAAGGCCCUCUGGGUUGUAAACUUCUUUUAUAGGGGACGAAAAAAGGGAAUUCCUUCCCACUUGACGGUACCCUAGGAAUAAGCACCGGCUAACUCCGUGCCAGCAGCCGCGGUAAUACGGAGGGUGCAAGCGUUAUCCGGAUUCACUGGGUUUAAAGGGUGCGUAGGUGGGCGGUUAAGUCAGUGGUGAAAUCUCCGGGCUUAACCCGGAAACUGCCAUUGAUACUAUCUGUCUUGAAUAUCCUGGAGGUGAGCGGAAUAUGUCAUGUAGCGGUGAAAUGCUUAGAUAUGACAUAGAACACCGAUUGCGAAGGCAGCUCGCUACGGGAUUAUUGACACUGAGGCACGAAAGCGUGGGGAUCAAACAGGAUUAGAUACCCUGGUAGUCCACGCCCUAAACGAUG